UACGGAGGGGGCUAGCGUUGUUCGGAAUUACUGGGCGUAAAGCGCACGUAGGCGGCUUGUAAGUUAGAGGUGAAAAGCCCGGGGCUCAACUCCGGAAUUGCCUUUUAAGACUGCAUCGCUGAGAAUUGUGGAGAGGUAAGUGGAAUUCCGAGUGUAGAGGUGAAAUUCGUAGAUAUUCGGAAGAACACCAGUGGCGAAGGCGACU
rnacentral:rRNA from 1 species